CCUUUUUUGGCAAUUAGUCCAAAACCUGACAUUUCUUUAUACAUAAUAUACAAGUAGUGUAAGGGAGGUAAAUCUGAACAUACCCAACAUUGUAUGUUAAAUGUUUUAGAAUUACCUCCCUUACACUGCUUUUCAAUUGUCUUAAUUGUCCAUUGACCAGAAAUACCUAGUUUUUGCACUUUUUUGCCCCUAAUUCUGAAACAUUUGAG
rnacentral:lncRNA from 1 species